GCUGUAGCUCAGUGGUAGAGCAUUUGCCUGGCAUGCAGAAGGUCCCAAACUUCAAUCCCUGGCUUCACCU